UCACAGUUCUGGAGGCCUGGAAGUCCAAGGUCCAGGUGUUGGCAGAGUCGACAUCUAGGGAGGGCUGCCCCCUGCUUCCAAGAUGGCGUCUUGCCGCUUCCAAGAUGGCGUCUUGCCGCCGUGUUUGUGUCCUCAGAGGGCCAGAGUAGAAGAAACCAGGUAGCUCUCUGGAGCCUCUUUCAUAAGGGCAUUAAUCCCACUCCCGAGGGAGAAGCCUUCAUGACUUAAUAAUGCUCCCAGAGGCCCCAUCUCAUAAUACCAUCUCAGUGAGGUUUAAGUUUUAACCUCUGAACUUUGGAGGGAUCCCAGCAUUCAAACCAUAGCAGGCGCCUCUGGGAUUACUGUGGACCGAGUUCUUCUCAGGUGUGCCUGAGGCGGCUGUGUCUCCUACUCUGCGAACCAUCUGGUUGUGCUGUCUAAGGAGGCCCCUGAGAAGGCCCACCUUCACCGCUUGUGUUUUCAUUUUCUCCUCUACACCAGGAGAAGUCUGCUGAGCCAUGGUCUGGAAGAUGUCAACCACAGAGGACUCCUGGGCUGUUCUAGGGAGUUGGGCUGUUGUCCUGAGGGCAAUGGAGAGCCACUGACCCAUUUGACGGAAGAGAAUGACCAGAGCAGAUUUGCACCUGUGGAAGAUCUCCCUGGCACAGUGGGGAGCACGGGCUAGAGGGGACAAGGCCAGGGGAUAAACCAGGAGUUGGCAUGAAGAUGAAGAGACAGACUGAGCUUGGCUAAGUGUUUUGCUGUAAGUCACACAGUUUGGAAGAUUUGGAAUUCUGGACAACUGGACUUGAAACCACCAUGAUGCCUCACUGCAUCCCCGACUUGGGAAAUCCGAGUCAUCAUUUGUAAUGAUCUUCUGCAUCAUUCAGAUGUCAUUCAGUACUCACUAAUGUGCUUUCUACACGGCUUUUCCGAAAUAGCUGGCAUCUGCAGCACUCUGGGCCGGAGACUUCCCGGGGGUGAAGAUGGUGUAGGCGCAUCCAGUGUGGACAGGAGGUGCCAGUUUAAAGGAUGACUGUUCAUGGCCACCUCACAAUCUGUGCACCCCCCUGGUGCCCAAGUAGCAGGGACAGGGCUGUGAACUUCCUGCAGGGACCAAACCCCACUAUUGGCAGCUGCUGGUCUUUGUGAUUGCUCCUAUGUCAGGCUUGGGGGACAGAAGACAUUUUUCUUUUGCUGAAACCUGAAGGGGAACAAAUCGUGUAAAACUUGGCAUCUAAAUCUUCCCUUUCCCUCUAAGGAAAACCUCUGCAAUCAUUCUGCAAAGUAUUCUCUCUCCUUUUGUCCUGUUUAAGAUUCGGGUGUUGACAACUUCCCUUUGGGAGACCAUAUUAGGGUCUCAGAUUUCACCAUCAAGGAAACCUCUAAGUAUUUUUGCAGAAAGCUCCUGAUUAGAUUGAUCUCGGCACCGCAGCCUUCCCCCAAUCCUGGGCUAAGCCACAGAGAGACUCUGCUUGCUGGGCAGCUGUUUGUGGGUAUCUUGCGGCGGUGUUUCUGCUUUCUUGCUCAACCACCCAGAUUUAGCUAUUAAAGUUCCCCUCAUAAAUCAGCCACGCCGCGUAUCUUCAUCAUCUCCUUCCAGUUUGUCUAUAAGCUCUCUGCCCUCCAAGAAAUAAAUUACCCGCAAUUACUCAAA